UACAGAGGGUGCGAGCGUUAAUCGGAAUUACUGGGCGUAAAGCGUGCGUAGACGGUAGCGUAAGUCAGAUGUGAAAGCCCCGGGCUCAACCUGGGAAUUGCAUUUGAGACUGCUCUGCUCGGGUGCGGAAGAGGGAAGCGGAAUUUCCGGUGUAGCGGUGAAAUUCGUAGAUAUUCGCAAGAACACCAGUGGCGAAGGCGGCUCACUGGCCCGAUACUGACGCUGAUGCACGAAAGCGUGGGGAGCAAACAGG
rnacentral:rRNA from 1 species